AUGUGGUACAUAAACACAAUGGAAUACUAUUCAGCCUUUAAAAAGAAGGAAAUCCUGUCAUUUGCAACCACAUGGAUCAAUCUGAAGGAUAUUUUGUUAAGGCCGUAUGCAGUGGCUCAACGCCUGCAAUCCCAGAACUUUGGGAGGCCGAGGCAGGUGGAUCACUUGAGGAAAUCCAAGCUAAUUCCUGUGCCAAAGGCUGGCUUAAGAGAGGGCCCACAAUGCAAUUCUGGCCUGUCUUCCUCUGCUGGAUGUCACCUUAUUUGAACUGGACACUUAGAACCAUGACAGCCAUCUGUGUCUAUGAGGGAGUGAGCCAGAGAACCAAGCUGACAUGUUGAAUAUGGACUUCUUUAAGGGCAUGAUGGCAAACAUCCUCAUUGUGUAAGUCGAAUAAGCCAGGGUUUUCUGUGUUUUGCACCUGAAAAAACCUUAAUUGAUAGACUAUAUUUGUCACCAUUAUAGAAGUGAAAUGUCAUUGUCUAGGUUGAUCAGUUUGUCCCUGUUUGCAUGGGGCUUUUCAAGUCUCAAAACUAGAGUCCCAUAUCCCAGGAACCCCGUUAGUCCCUAGAAAACCUGGACUACCUGUUGCCCCUACAUUAUAGAUACUUCUGCAACUUUUAUUUCACAUGUAUCUUGCAUGUCUUUCCAUAUUAAUAUAUAAAGACCCAUAUUGUUACUUUGGGGCUUUCUAGAAUUCCUUUGGAUGGAUCAUUUUGUGUCAGGAAUUGGUGGGUUCUUGGUCUACUGACUUCAAGAAUGAAGCCGCGGACCCUCGUGGAAUGGGAUUGGCAGCAAACAACUGUAUACCUGACUAACAGUGGCCUGAACAAAUAACGACAUAAUUUUCUCACCUUAUGAGAAGGCUGGAGGUAAGUGGCUGCUUGUAUUGGUUCAGAAGCUCAGUGGUGUUGGGACUGACACCACUGUGAUUCUCUUUGCCUUUCCCCCAUGGUUUCAAAAUGAUGGCUGUAUCCACGUUCAAGGAAGGAAGAAGAAAGUGCUGCAGUUCCAUUUUAUUGGGAAAGCAAAUGCUUUCCCAGAAACUUCACCAGAUUAUGCUUAUAUCUCAUUGGCUAGAACCACGUCACAUGGCCACCCCUAGCUGCAAGGGAGGCUGGAUGAAAGCUACUCCAUCAUCUUGAAUCCUGGAGUGAAGAUGAGAUGGGGAAGAACUAAGCUGACCUUUGAUGAACAGACGGCAUGAGCGUAAAAUGAACCUUUAUUGUAAGUCAGUGAGGCUGGCGGGGGCAUGUUAAUGACUGUGGCAUGCCCUUGACUGAUUAUAUUCUUCACUGACAUGCUGCCUAGCAUGCAGAGGCCAUGCGACCCUUGGGGAGGCUCCUACUUGCCUUGGAAAAGUAGCUCCUCCUCUUCUCAAAUGUAAUAAUGGAAACCUUACAUGGGUGGAUCCAGGGGUAAAGCUCUUUGUGGUGUAUAGCAACAGAAUGUUAAGUCAAAGUGGUUGUCAACAAAGUUUAUCGAACAGCAGCUAUAUUUUUUAUAAUGAACACUGGUUUGCCUGGAACCUUGAAGUAACCAUGAAUUUUUCCUAGACCCUAAUACUAUCAGAAAGAAACAAAUCACCCAACAAUAAGAUCAGUAACUAAAACCAACAAAUCCCAAAGGCAUCUCACAGUGCUGGCAUAUGUCUCUGCCAUAGCUCAUGCUCAUAAACUGCAAUGAGCCAACCCUGGCAUCAUGAAGGACCCCGAUUUUAAAAAUGGGUAAAGAAGUUCUGAAAGCCUGGGCAACAUAGUGAGACCAUUCUCUUAAAAAAAAAAAAUUA
rnacentral:lncRNA from 1 species